AGGCCACCACCAGAUAUGGAGCCUGCGGCUUAUUUUGACUCAACACGGGAAAACUUACCCGGCCCGGACACUAGUAGGAUUGACAGAUUGACACCUCUUUCUUGAUUCAGUGGGGGGGGGUGCAUGGCCGUUCUUAGUUGGCGGAGCGACUUGUCUGGUCAAUUCCGAUCCCGAACGAGACUCUGGCCUACUAAAUAGACUUUAUAUUUCUUUGUGGGACUACUUCAGCUUCCUAGAGGGAGGGCCGCCGUUCAGCCGCAAGAGAUUGAGCACUAACAGGCCUGUGAUGCCCUUAGACGUUCUGGGCUGCAACAGCGCUACACUGAUGGAAUCACUGUGCGUCCCCUGCACGAAAGGACUGGCAAACACGCUGAACCUCCUUCGUGUUGGAGAUUGUACUUGCUACAUUCCCAAUGAACCAUCAAUUUGCGGACGCCGAGCUAUUUUUUGCUUCCAGUACGUCCCUGCCUUGCACACACCCCACGAUUUACGAUUGAUCGAGUCUUUAUCGAGGCCUUC
rnacentral:rRNA from 1 species